UGAGGAAUAUUGGUCAAUGGACGCAAGUCUGAACCAGCCAUGCCGCGUGCAGGAAGACGGCUCUAUGAGUUGUAAACUGCUUUUGUACGAGGGUAAACUCACCUACGUGUAGGUGACUGAAAGUAUCGUACGAAUAAGGAUCGGCUAACUCCGUGCCAGCAGCCGCGGUAAUACGGAGGAUUCAAGCGUUAUCCGGAUUUAUUGGGUUUAAAGGGUGCGUAGGCGGUUUGAUAAGUUAGAGGUGAAAUCCCGGGGCUUAACUCCGGAACUGCCUCUAAUACUGUUAGACUAGAGAGUAGUUGCGGUAGGCGGAAUGUAUGGUGUAGCGGUGAAAUGCUUAGAGAUCAUACAGAACACCGAUUGCGAAGGCAGCUUACCAAACUAUAUCUGACGUUGAGGCACGAAAGCGUGGGGAGCAAACAGGAUUAGAUACCCUGGUAGUCCACGCAGUAAACGAUGAUAACUCGUUGUCGGCGAUACACAGUCGGUGACUAAGCGAAAGCGAUAAGUUAUCCACCUGGGGAGUACGUUCGCAAGAAUGAAACUCAAAGGAAUUGACGGGGGCCCGCACAAGCGGAGGAACAUGUGGUUUAAUUCGAUGAUACGCGAGGAACCUUACCCGGGCUUGAAAGUUACUGACGAUUCUGGAAACAGGAUUUCCCUUGGGGGCAGGAAACUAGGUGCUGCAUGGUUGUCGUCAGCUCGUGCCGUGAGGUGUCGGGUUAAGUCCCAUAACGAGCGCAACCCCUACCGUUAGUUGCCAUCAGGUCAAGCUGGGCACUCUGGCGGGACUGCCGGUGUAAGCCGAGAGGAAGGUGGGGAUGACGUCAAAUCAGCACGGCCCUUACGUCCGGGGCUACACACGUGUUACAAUGGUAGGUACAGAGGGUCGCUACUCCGUGAGGAGAUGCCAAUCUCGAAAGCCUAUCUCAGUUCGGAUUGGAGGCUGAAACCCGCCUCCAUGAAGUUGGAUUCGCUAGUAAUCGCGCAUCAGCCAUGGCGCGGUGAAUACGUUCCC
rnacentral:rRNA from 1 species